rnacentral:rRNA from 1 species
UACGGGGGGAGCAAGCGUUGUUCGGAUUUACUGGGCGUAAAGGGCGCGUAGGCGGUCAGCACAAGUCAGUUGUGAAAUCUCCGGGCUUAACUCGGAAAGGUCAACUGAUACUAUGCGACUAGAGUGCGGAAGGGGCAACUGGAAUUCUCGGUGUAGCGGUGAAAUGCGUAGAUAUCGAGAGGAACACCUGCGGCGAAGGCGGGUUGCUGGGCCGACACUGACGCUGAUGCGCGAAAGCCAGGGGAGCGAACGGG